rnacentral:rRNA from 1 species
GAUGAACGCUGGCGGCGUGCCUAAUACAUGCAAGUCGAGCGAACGGACGAGAAGCUUGCCUCUCUGAUGUUAGCGGCGGACGGGUGAGUAACACGUGGAUAACCUACCUAUAAGACUGGGAUAACUUCGGGAAACCGGAGCUAAUACCGGAUAAUAUUUUGAACCGCAUGGUUCAAAAGUGUAAGACGGUCUUGUUGUCACUUAUAGAUGGAUCCGCGCUGCAUUAGCUAGUUGGUAAGGUAACGGCUUACCAAGGCAACGAUGCAUAGCCGACCUGAGAGGGUGAUCGGCCACACUGGAACUGAGACACGGUCCAGACUCCUACGGGAGGCAGCAGUAGGGAAUCUUCCGCAAUGGGCGAAAGCCUGACGGAGCAACGCCGCGUGAGUGAUGAAGGUCUUCGGAUCGUAAAACUCUGUUAUUAGGGAAGAACAUAUGUGUAAGUAACUGUGCACAUCUUGACGGUACCUAAUCAGAAAGCCACGGCUAACUACGUG